AGUCUGCAACUCGACUACAUGAAGCUGGAAUCGCUAGUAAUCGCAGAUCAGAACGCUGCGGUGAAUACGUUCCCGGGUCUUGUACACACCGCCCGUCACACCAUGGGAGUCGGAAAUGCCCGAAGCCGGUGACCCAACCAAAAGGAGGGAGCCGUCGAAGGCAGGUCUGAUAACUGGGGUGAAGUCGUAACAAGGUACC
rnacentral:rRNA from 1 species